rnacentral:lncRNA from 1 species
AAAAUCAAACACACAAUCAUCAUCAGAUUACAGAAAAAUUCCAAUAAUAAAGAAACCUAAUCUAAUUAUACAAAACACUUGCUGUAAAUUUCAUUGUAAAAGUCUAUUACAAAAGACCCAAACUAAGAAAAUUUAACAAAAAGGAAUCCAAAAAUAAAAAAAUCCUAAAUCUAAAGAUUUCAAACCCUAAAUCAAAUUAUAGAGGCGGCGGAGAUGGCGACG